rnacentral:rRNA from 1 species
UUAAGCGACUAAGCGUACACGGUGGAUGCCCUGGCAGUCAGAGGCGAUGAAGGACGUGCUAAUCUGCGAUAAGCGUCGGUGAGGUGAUAUGAACCGUUAUAACCGGCGAUUUCCGAAUGGGGAAACCCAGUGUGUUUCGACACACUAUCAUUAACUGAAUCCAUAGGUUAAUGAGGCGAACCGGGGGAACUGAAACAUCUAAGUACCCCGAGGAAAAGAAAUCAACCGAGAUUCCCCCAGUAGCGGCGAGCGAACGGGGAGCAGCCCAGAGCCUGAAUCAGUGUGUGUGUUAGUGGAAGCGUCUGGAAAGGCGCGCGAUACAGGGUGACAGCCCCGUACACAAAAAUGCACAUGCUGUGAGCUCGAUGAGUAGGGCGGGACACGUGGUAUCCUGUCUGAAUAUGGGGGGACCAUCCUCCAAGGCUAAAUACUCCUGACUGACCGAUAGUGAACCAGUACCGUGAGGGAAAGGCGAAAAGAACCCCGGCGAGGGGAGUGAAAAAGAACCUGAAACCGUGUACGUACAAGCAGUGGGAGCCUCUUUAUGGGGUGACUGCGUACCUUUUGUAUAAUGGGUCAGCGACUUAUAUUCUGUAGCAAGGUUAACCGAAUAGGGGAGCCGAAGGGAAACCGAGUCUUAACUGGGCGUUAAGUUGCAGGGUAUAGACCCGAAACCCGGUGAUCUAGCCAUGGGCAGGUUGAAGGUUGGGUAACACUAACUGGAGGACCGAACCGACUAAUGUUGAAAAAUUAGCGGAUGACUUGUGGCUGGGGGUGAAAGGCCAAUCAAACCGGGAGAUAGCUGGUUCUCCCCGAAAGCUAUUUAGGUAGCGCCUCGUGAAUUCAUCUCCGGGGGUAGAGCACUGUUUCGGCAAGGGGGUCAUCCCGACUUACCAACCCGAUGCAAACUGCGAAUACCGGAGAAUGUUAUCACGGGAGACACACGGCGGGUGCUAACGUCCGUCGUGAAGAGGGAAACAACCCAGACCGCCAGCUAAGGUCCCAAAGUCAUGGUUAAGUGGGAAACGAUGUGGGAAGGCCCAGACAGCCAGGAUGUUGGCUUAGAAGCAGCCAUCAUUUAAAGAAAGCGUAAUAGCUCACUGGUCGAGUCGGCCUGCGCGGAAGAUGUAACGGGGCUAAACCAUGCACCGAAGCUGCGGCAGCGACGCUUAUGCGUUGUUGGGUAGGGGAGCGUUCUGUAAGCCUGCGAAGGUGUGCUGUGAGGCAUGCUGGAGGUAUCAGAAGUGCGAAUGCUGACAUAAGUAACGAUAAAGCGGGUGAAAAGCCCGCUCGCCGGAAGACCAAGGGUUCCUGUCCAACGUUAAUCGGGGCAGGGUGAGUCGACCCCUAAGGCGAGGCCGAAAGGCGUAGUCGAUGGGAAACAGGUUAAUAUUCCUGUACUUGGUGUUACUGCGAAGGGGGGACGGAGAAGGCUAUGUUGGCCGGGCGACGGUUGUCCCGGUUUAAGCGUGUAGGCUGAUUUUCCAGGCAAAUCCGGAAAAUCAAGGCUGAGGCGUGAUGACGAGGCACUACGGUGCUGAAGCAACAAAUGCCCUGCUUCCAGGAAAAGCCUCUAAGCAUCAGGUAACAUCAAAUCGUACCCCAAACCGACACAGGUGGUCAGGUAGAGAAUACCAAGGCGCUUGAGAGAACUCGGGUGAAGGAACUAGGCAAAAUGGUGCCGUAACUUCGGGAGAAGGCACGCUGAUAUGUAGGUGAAGUCCCUCGCGGAUGGAGCUGAAAUCAGUCGAAGAUACCAGCUGGCUGCAACUGUUUAUUAAAAACACAGCACUGUGCAAACACGAAAGUGGACGUAUACGGUGUGACGCCUGCCCGGUGCCGGAAGGUUAAUUGAUGGGGUUAGCGGUAACGCGAAGCUCUUGAUCGAAGCCCCGGUAAACGGCGGCCGUAACUAUAACGGUCCUAAGGUAGCGAAAUUCCUUGUCGGGUAAGUUCCGACCUGCACGAAUGGCGUAAUGAUGGCCAGGCUGUCUCCACCCGAGACUCAGUGAAAUUGAACUCGCUGUGAAGAUGCAGUGUACCCGCGGCAAGACGGAAAGACCCCGUGAACCUUUACUAUAGCUUGACACUGAACAUUGAGCCUUGAUGUGUAGGAUAGGUGGGAGGCUUUGAAGUGUGGACGCCAGUCUGCAUGGAGCCGACCUUGAAAUACCACCCUUUAAUGUUUGAUGUUCUAACGUUGGCCCCUGAUCGGGGUUGCGGACAGUGUCUGGUGGGUAGUUUGACUGGGGCGGUCUCCUCCUAAAGAGUAACGGAGGAGCACGAAGGUUGGCUAAUCCUGGUCGGACAUCAGGAGGUUAGUGCAAUGGCAUAAGCCAGCUUGACUGCGAGCGUGACGGCGCGAGCAGGUGCGAAAGCAGGUCAUAGUGAUCCGGUGGUUCUGAAUGGAAGGGCCAUCGCUCAACGGAUAAAAGGUACUCCGGGGAUAACAGGCUGAUACCGCCCAAGAGUUCAUAUCGACGGCGGUGUUUGGCACCUCGAUGUCGGCUCAUCACAUCCUGGGGCUGAAGUAGGUCCCAAGGGUAUGGCUGUUCGCCAUUUAAAGUGGUACGCGAGCUGGGUUUAGAACGUCGUGAGACAGUUCGGUCCCUAUCUGCCGUGGGCGCUGGAGAACUGAGGGGGGCUGCUCCUAGUACGAGAGGACCGGAGUGGACGCAUCACUGGUGUUCGGGUUGUCAUGCCAAUGGCACUGCCCGGUAGCUAAAUGCGGAAGAGAUAAGUGCUGAAAGCAUCUAAGCACGAAACUUGCCCCGAGAUGAGUUCUCCCUGACUCCUUGAGAGUCCUGAAGGAACGUUGAAGACGACGACGUUGAUAGGCCGGGUGUGUAAGCGCAGCGAUGCGUUGAGCUAACCGGUACUAAUGAACCGUGAGGCUUAACCUU